rnacentral:rRNA from 1 species
AGUGAACGCUGGCGGUAGGCCUAACACAUGCAAGUCGAACGGCAGCACAGUAAGAGCUUGCUCUUACGGGUGGCGAGUGGCGGACGGGUGAGGAAUACAUCGUAAUCUACUUUUUCGUGGGGGAUAACGUAGGGAAACUUACGCUAAUACCGCAUACGACCUACGGGUGAAAGCAGGGGAUCUUCGGACCUUGCGCGAUUGAAUGAGCCGAUGUCGGAUUAGCUAGUUGGCGGGGUAAAGGCCCACCAAGGCGACGAUCCGUAGCUGGUCUGAGAGGAUGAUAAGCCACACUGGAACUUAGACACGGUCCAGGCUCCUACGGGAGGCCGCAGUGGGGAAUAUUGGACAAUGGGCGCAAGCCUGAUCCAGCCAUACCGCGUGUGUGAAGAAGGCCUUCGGGUUGUAAAGCCCUUUUGUUGGGAAAGAAAAGCAGCAGGUUAAUACCCCGCUGUUCUGACGGUACCCAAAGAAUAAGCACCGGCUAACUUCGUG